rnacentral:ncRNA from 1 species
GUAGAUAUUCUAUUAGAUGUACCUAUGUGGCGACACGACAGCGACCCCAACGACGUGUGCCGGUGAGAAUUUUCCGGGACACCCAGAUCUUAUGAGCGUCACGCUGAGACUAAGAACGAGUUGGGCGGUGAAAAUGAAGGAACAUCCUCGUACCGAACCGCAACAGGACUCCUAGGUGAGAAGCCUAAGGCAUAAUUGUAAUGUGAGCAAGGGAAAUCGGCAAAAUGGAUGAAAAACCUCGGGAUAAUCAUUGGCUCUAGCAUGCUAGAACUGGGCUUACAAGGGGAAUCUGACUGUUUAAUAAAAACAUAGCUUUGUGUGUACGCAAAGUGAAUUCUGCCCAGUGCUUGGGACGUUAAGGAAGUAAUUUUAAGUACGCACCUGUAAACGGCGGGAGUAACUAUGACUCUCUUAAGGUAGCCAAAUGCCUCGUCGCCUAAUUAGCGACGCGCAUGAAUGGAGCAACGAGAUUCCCACUGUCCCUGCUCACAGAUUUGCGAACCUACAGCCAAGGGAACGGGCUUGGGACAUGCAGCGGGGAAAGAAGACCCUGUUGAGCUUGACUCUAGCCAAGCACAGGCCUCUGUGACUAUAUCGUAGCGAGGUGGGAGAAAUGUGUGAGACCACUGACAUAGUCGGCGGGGGCACUCGCAAAGCUUGGUGGGGAGUUUGGCUGGGGCGGCACGACUACUAAAACAUAACGUAGACGUCCAAAGGUAAGCUCCGAGGGGAUGGAAACCACUCCGAGAGUAUAAGGGCAAAAGCUUGCUUUAGUUAUUAAUGUAAAUUAAUAAUACUGGAAACAGGGGCCUAGAGAUCCUCUAUGAAACUAAGCAUAGAGGUGACGGAAAAGUUACCACAGGGAUAACUGGCUUGUGGCGGCCGAGCGUCCAUAGCGACGCCGCUUUUUGAUUCCUCGAUGUCCGCUCCUUCCGAGCAUGGUGGAAGUAUCAGCCACCAAGUGUUGUGAUUGUUCACCAACUAACAGGGAACACUGAACCUGGGUUUUAAACCGUCCCGAAGAUAGGUUUAUUUUUACCCUUACGGCAUCGCGGU